CAAGUCGAACGGCAGCACGGGUGCUUGCACCUGGUGGCGAGUGGCGAACGGGUGAGUAAUACAUCGGAACGUACCUUAUCGUGGGGGAUAACGCAGCGAAAGCUGUGCUAAUACCGCAUACGCCCUGAGGGGGAAAGCGGGGGAUCGAAAGACCUCGCGCGAUUAGAGCGGCCGAUGCCUGAUUAGCUUGUUGGUGGGGUAAAAGCCCACCAAGGCGACGAUCAGUAGCUGGUCUGAGAGGACGAUCAGCCACACUGGGACUGAGACACGGCCCAGACUCCUACGGGAGGCAGCAGUGGGGAAUUUUGGACAAUAGGGGAAACCCUGAUCCAGCAAUGCCGCGUGAGUGAAGAAGGCCUUCGGGUUGUAAAGCUCUUUUGUCAGGGAAGAAACACCGGCUCUAACACAGUCCGGGAAUGACGGUACCUGAAGAAUAAGCACCGGCUAACUACGUGCCAGCAGCCGCGGUAAUACGUAGGGUGCGAGCGUUAAUCGGAAUUACUGGGCGUAAAGCGUGCGCAGGCGGUUAUACAAGACAGGCGUGAAAUCCCCGGGCUUAACCUGGGAAUGGCGCCUGUGACUGUAUAGCUAGAGUGUGUCAGAGGGGGGUAGAAUUCCACGUGUAGCAGUGAAAUGCGUAGAUAUGUGGAGGAAUACCAAUGGCGAAGGCAGCCCCCUGGGAUAACACUGACGCUCAUGCACGAAAGCGUGGGGAGCAAACAGGAUUAGAUACCCUGGUAGUCCACGCCCUAAACGAUGCUGACUAGUUGUUCGGGAUUUACAUCCUGAGUAACGUAGCUAACGCGUGAAGUCAGCCGCCUGGGGAGUACGGUCGCAAGAUUAAAACUCAAAGGAAUUGACGG
rnacentral:rRNA from 1 species